rnacentral:lncRNA from 1 species
GGCCAUUGCUGGGACUAGGUGUGGGCAGACAGAAGAAGAGGAAGCUUCAUGGAAAAGAACCAUGGGACGAGUGAAGAUUUGCUAGAAGACAGAGGAAGGAAACUGACUGAAUGAAGAGCAGGGCAGCAAAGGUUAACUGCUUUCUGCUCUUGGUCUCCUGGAUCUUCUUGUCAAUGCUGUAACAGCUGGAUCUCCCAGGAAGAGCUUCUGUAAGUGACAUGCCAAUUUUCUCAUUCUCCCUUUUCAGUGCAAGGAGCAGGCGCCAGCAAAGAGUUUAUCUUGUCUUGUCUGGCAGCACAAUGAAAUGGACUGUUCCAAUAUGUUUCAUCUGGAUAUGA